rnacentral:rRNA from 1 species
UACGUAGGUCCCGAGCGUUGUCCGGAUUUAUUGGGCGUAAAGCGAGCGCAGGUGGUUUAUUAAGUCUGGUGUAAAAGGCAGUGGCUCAACCAUUGUAUGCAUUGGAAACUGGUAGACUUGAGUGCAGGAGAGGAGAGUGGAAUUCCAUGUAUAGCGGUGAAAUGCGUGGAUAUAUGGAGGAACACCGGUGGCGAAAGCGGCUCUCUGGCCUGUAACUGACACUGAGGCUCGAAAGCGUGGGGAGCAAACAGG